GCUGCGGUGUCCGAGUGGUUAAGGAGUUUGACUUGAAAUCAAAUGGGUUUCACCCGCACAGGUUCGAAUCCUGUCCGCAGCG